GGUGAGAUGGCUGAAAAAGAAAGAGAAACAGAGAACCAAAAAAAAAAGAUCAUGGGAGAAAAAAAAUGUGGGAGAAAAAAUAUUGUUUACUAAAUAUUUAAGAUAAAUUUAUAAAUGAUAAUAACUGGAAUAUGUAAAUUUCCAUUUUUCGUUGUUUAGGUGGAAUACAUGAACAACAUAGAUUAGAACGAUGACUAAUAUGUGGGAUAUAUAUUUUGUCACAAACACAUCCUAAAGUUAUAGCUAGAACAAGUUAUGAAACAUAAAUAAGUUAAGUUAGGUCCUAUAGUAAAUUAUACAACACGUAUUCGAAGUAGAUGUAAACCACUGAUAUCUGGCUAUAAUGCAACCGAACAAAUUCUAACAAGAGUAGAAUAAACAGAAAAUUUUGUUUACAUUGUAUAUCCAAGUUAAAUAAUUGUAAUAUACUUUGUAUCCUAAUUAUGAACUUAACAGACUGUCAAAAUGAAUAUUUUAUGUUUAUCUAGGAUAUAAAAUAAUAUAUAGUUUUUAAAAAUAAUCAUAUAGUUUUACUUAUGUUUCUAAUAAUUUUCAUAUUUUUGAAAUUUUAAAAUUUUAAAAUACUAUUUUUUCACUACAUAAAAGUAAAAUAUAUCUAAAAAUAGUCUAAAAAAUCAAAAGUUGAGAGUGUUCCAUUUUUCUAAUUUUUUGUAUUAAAUAUAUCAAUUGAUCCAAAAUGAAAAAAAGAAAAGAAAAUAAUUUAUUACUAGGUCCGGAGCUGAAAAACGUGAUAACAUUUACGAUCGUAUGUAAUGGUUGUAGUUGUGGAUGCGAGAGUUUGCGGAUCCUAGAUCUAAUCGUCACCCCC
rnacentral:lncRNA from 1 species